rnacentral:rRNA from 1 species
UACGUAGGGUGCAAGCGUUGUCCGGAAUUAUUGGGCGUAAAGAGCUCGUAGGCGGUUCGUCGCGUCGGCUGUGAAAUCCCGAGGCUCAACCUCGGGUCUGCAGUCGAUACGGGCGGACUGGAGUUCGGCAGGGGAGACUGGAAUUCCUGGUGUAGCGGUGAAAUGCGCAGAUAUCAGGAGGAACACCGGUGGCGAAGGCGGCUUUCUGGACGACAACUGACGCUGAGACGCGAAAGCGUGGGGAGCAAACAGG